UUUUAAAAAUUUCAUUCCUUUUUACAAUUAAUAAUGGGUGUAUCGGACAGAAUAACCAGACAGUGACAUAUGACAUGCCACUAGUAUCUUAUGCUAAUAUAUAGGAACUAGUUUUUAACAAUAAAAAUGAAUUAAAUAUUUAAUA
rfam:Gossypium hirsutum cultivar TM-1 chromosome 19, whole genome shotgun sequence